rnacentral:tRNA from 1 species
CGGGGCUGUAACUCAGUGGUAGAGUGUUCGCUUUGCAUUGCCCCAGUCGCAAGAUUGGAUAUGAUACUUAUAUGCGAAAAGCCCAGGGUUCGAUCCCCUGCCGCUCCA